rnacentral:lncRNA from 1 species
AUGUUAUCACUGCAAUCAGAUGCUUCAGCACUUCAGACAAUCCAAUGCUUGACAGAACCAGUCAAAUUUAGCUACAAGGAUCAGAGAUACCACUCCCUCACAAGAAGUUCAAAUAUACUUGUUUUUACAGCUAACAGCAGCCAGCUCCAGCCACAAAAGCAAAAUCUGUCUCUCAGAAAAAAAAACCAAAGCCCUAGCACCUCUAGUACAUCCAGCAACAAAAGCACCUACCAGAGAACAUCAAAUCUCUAUACAGUGUCAGAAUUGAGCAGUGGACCCAAGCCUGCAGACAGGAAGCAAGCUACUGACAGAGGAUGCUCAGCCUACAAAAGGUCACCCUUUGGCAUCACGUAA